rnacentral:piRNA from 1 species
GUGAUUGAUCGACUUUACCCCAAAGGCU